rnacentral:lncRNA from 1 species
UGGGAGGCUGAGCAAGUAAUCACAUGUUGAGGAUGAAGGGAGUAGUUGUCUGCUAGCACUGUGUACAGAGUUGAGAGAUUGCUCAUGACCAUGGCAAAGUCCUGUAGCAGGUUGGGGGUGGUGGAGGAAUGUCAAGAUUUCUCAGGCUUUUUAUUGCUGUGACAAGAGAAUUGCCCCUGAGGAGCUUUCCUCAUCUACCCGCUUCAGGAGUUUGGAGGAGAGGAACAAAUGUCUGCACAGAAGUGGGGCAGUGAGAGAUGCUUUGCUGGUUACCCCUGGUGGGGUGAAGGCAGAAUGCUUACACUACCUUUACUGCCAUGUACUUUGCUAGACGCUUCCACAAACUCGGUCUCUAUGCAGGAAGGAGGAAUGGGCUGGUGCCUUCAGGACUGCGUGGGUAUACCUCUUUAAUUGGAAGGGAAUCCUCACAAAGGGAAUCUGAUUCAUUUUACUCUCACUCCUAAUGCAUCUGGCGGUAGACUUGCCUCAAGAACCAAAUGAAUCUUGAGCUGCUAUUACAUAUUGGAUCCCCCAUAUGAUUUGAAUUCACAUCCCUCAGGGAGGGGAGACUCUGUGGAUAACAGUAAGUGCACACAAACCAGCAGCUCUGAGAUCAGGGCUGAAUGCCAGAUCUGCUGUGGUCACUGAGUGUCACAUAUUCUAGCUCUUAUAUAGAUUAUAAUAAUUUCUGUCAAAUAAAUUUUCCUUUCUUAUAUUGUUGUUUAUACA